UAGAUGUUAAAAGCAAGAGACAUGGGAGAGCAUCAUUCCUUUGAGAUUUUAUAACUCAAACCAACUUUGGAGUUGUCUGAUUUGGAGAGUCAUUAUUCUUGGUCUUCGCUCUUAGAGGCCACUGAUGAAGAACAGGCGGUGACUGGGAUGAAUGCUGGUCAGAGAGGAGAAUCUUCUUUCCCCUAAACAGCAGUGGUUUUAAAGGAGGACGCUGCCCUGGAUGAUGUAGAAGAUGUCACAUGCUGUGCUGAUGGGGUUUCUUCAUGAUUACAUCAGUUAUGCUAAAGAGAUCAUGAAAAUUGACUGUGAUGCAUGAUCUGUAUUCAUGGACUAUGAAACAAACUGUAAGUGUAUAAUUUGUUUAAAAAAAAAAGUUAAAUGCUUUUUCUGUGUUGUUUAGUAGAAGAGUUUACACUCUGUCAUUCAUACACCUGCUCACAUUCUUUCACACACACACACACACACACACACACACACAUGCGUCUGUUAAAUGUUAUAAUAUCAAAGUUAAUGUUGUGAUUUAUUUGUGUACUGUCAUGCCAGAAUAGUUGGAAAAAAACCUAACUAAUUGUAAAUUUAUUGUAUGUGUUUUCGUAUAUUUUUAUACAAUAUAUACAAUUGAACAAAGUCCAAUUUGAUCUUAAGUUAUAUUCAUCAAAUGUUCAAUGCUUUGUUUAUGAACUCUGUAGCUGUUAAUGCCAUCCUUUUCUGCAUUUCUUCUAACAUGUUACUUUUUGACUUUUCUCUUGUUUUUAAUAAAUAUUUUCCUUUUGGUAAUUAUUA